rnacentral:rRNA from 1 species
UGGGGAAUAUUGGACAAUGGGCGAAAGCCUGAUCCAGCCAUGCCGCGUGUGUGAAGAAGGUCUUCGGAUUGUAAAGCACUUUAAGUUGGGAGGAAGGGCAGUAAGCGAAUACCUUGCUGUUUUGACGUUACCGACAGAAUAAGCACCUGCUAACUCUGUGCCAGCAGCCGCGGUAAUACAGAGGGUGCAAGCGUUAAUCGGAAUUACUGGGCGUAAAGCGCGCGUAGGUGGUUCGUUAAGUUGAAUGUGAAAGCCCCGGGCUCAACCUGGGAACUGCAUCCAAGACUGGCGAGCUAGAGUAGGGCAGAGGGUGGUGGAAUUUCCUGUGUAGCGGUGAAAUGCGUAGAUAUAGGAAGGAACACCAGUGGCGAGUGCGACCACCUGGGCUCAUACUGACACUGAGGUGCGAAAGCGUGGGGAGCAAACAGG